UCCGUAGGUGAACCUGCGGAAGGAUCAUUACCAGGAAACGGUGCCUUCGGGUGCCGGUUCUCAAACCUCUGUAUACCAACCUUUCAGUUGCCUCCGGCGGCCCUGGGCCGGCGCGGCGCGUCCCCCUCUCCCCCCGUUCGCGGGAGGCUUGGGGGCCGCCCCCCCGCGCCGGACCACCCGCCGGGCGGUCAGAUACAAAACCUUUUGUUGAGAUGGCAUCGUCUAAUUUCUUCAUUACAAUAUGAAAUACAACUUUCAACAAUGGAUCUCUUGGCUCCGGCAUCGAUGAAGAACGCAGCGAAAUGCGAUAACUAGUGUGAAUUGCAGAUUUCAGUGAAUCAUCGAGUCUUUGAACGCACAUUGCGCCUCUUGGUAUUCCUCGAGGCAUGCCUGUUCGAGCGUCGUUACGCCCCUCAAGCGCAAGCUUGGUGUUGGGGAUCGCCCCUGAGAUACGGCGGCGGCCCUAAAAUUCAUCGGCGGUGCUGGUGUCCAGCCCGGAGCGCAGCAGACAUGCGGCUUCCAGGCGACCACGCGCCCGCCGGACAACGACCCGACUUUCAAACGUCGACCUCGGAUCAGGUAGGGAUACCCGCUGAACUUAAGCAUAUCAAUAAGCGGAGGA
rnacentral:rRNA from 1 species